rnacentral:tRNA from 1 species
GGUCCCAUCGUCUAGCGGUUAGGACGCCGGCCUCUCACGUCGGUAGCACGGGUUCGAUUCCCGUUGGGACCA